CUCUCGCUGCCCCGGGCUGCGGCCGCGGGCGGCGGGGGGCGGUGACGUCACAGAGCCGCUCGCCAGCACAACGUUCCAUUGAGCCGAGCGCGUGCUCGGGCGAGCACAUGGGCAGCGCGGCCCGCGCAGCUCCGCGCCCGCCGGGCCCGGCCCGGGAGCGGGACCCGGUACCAACCCCAUGCAUCCCACUGGCCUGGAAUAACGUUUGGAGCAGCCUGGCAGUGCGAUCCAAGGAUUUUUGGGAUCAUGGGAUGUAUGGAUAUACAGACCCAUGAAGCCCUCUGGAGAAUGCUGGCUGUGGAUAAAAGCAUCUUCAAGUUCUUACCAUCUCUUUACCCUGUUUUUUCCUGGAUCACCUUGUGUCAUUUGGGAAGGAAGCCUCUCUGUCCUGAGGAUUAUAGUGUACCAGUCACUUAGUGGAAUACCUCCCCAGUCAUCUUCUCGAGAUGGAGCCAUUGCUUUACCAAGCUGGAAGAUAUCUUUUCUUCUCCCAGAGCCUUUCCAGUGCAGCAGCACUCCUGUCCAGCAGGUCUCGGUUGACUGCAAAAAGGAGAAGGGAGGAGCGAGUGGAAGGGAGGUCAGAUCCUGCCAGGGUUUCCUGGGAAAUGAGGUGUAUCCACUCUUUCGAUGAUGAAGAUUGAUGAGCUGCAAUUUGGCUUGGAUUACAAUAUUUCAGAAGACUUUCUGAACUUGCCAGGCAACCCUCCCUCUAGACUUUGGGGACAGUGGAGCUUAAGUUUAUGUCUCCAGUAUCACACAGGAGAAAGAGUGUUACUUGGUUGCUUUACACAAGUAAUGAAAAUCAAUGCUGUAUUGCCAUUGGGAGGAAUGCUCAAAAGGAGAAAAGCCUGGCAUAUAGAUCUUGUUUUAGAGACAGAGUUUGUCUGGAAAGAGGGUGCUUAAGGGAAGAUACAGGAAGAAAGAGGAGAGGUGAUGCUACAAGCCAGCUUCCUGACUUCCAGAGUGGGACUGAAGCUUCAUAAUAAGAUUUUCUAACUAUGGAAGCUCUCCUGAGGAGCUGCAUCACACACUGCUGCCCCUGGGAUGGGAUGCAGAGCAGAAGUGAAGAGGAGCUGCAAUGUGCCACUGCAAGUUGCUUUCUUGAGGAGAGAGGCUUUCUGGCAUGUCAUACGGUGCCAAAAGCCAUUUUACUCUUGACAGUAAAAAUCCUUAUCCUUCUUGUUUUUUUUUUUUCCAGGACAGAUGAUAUUUCCUGUUAGAGAUGCUUUGUAUGCAAAUCAAAGUAGUACAACAAGAAAAAAAGUCCUGAAAGCAAUCACACUGAUAAACUCAGCCCACUGGGGAAUUCCUGCUUAUCAUUUAUCUUUUCUUUUUUCAGUUCUGUACAAGAUACUUCUUUGCCUGUGCUUUCUUAUGGUCUUUAAAGUUUGUCCUGCCAGACCUCUUACUCAUGAACUACAGUGCUACUUGCAUUUUGCAGGGCUCCAUGUCAAUCUGAACAAACAAAAGGCAGUAAAUGCUGGAGAUUGGUGUUAACAGUCCCUGUGUUUUAUCUUUGCCCUGCAUUGCUCUAGUGCUUUCUGAAGUUUAAGCUAGACAUGAACCUCACACUGCAGAUUGCCACAUGCCUAUAGUGAUGGGGGGAAGCCCAGAAACUUUCAGAAAGCACAGGAAAGGAAUGAGGAGAGGUAAAAAGCCAAAAGAAGCCAGGAAAAGUUUACCUAGUAACUUACACAGUAGCAGGAUUUGACCCUCCUGAGGCACCUCAAGAGGUGUUGUGCACAGCACUACACUAAUGCUGUGACAUGAGUUGGUCACUUCCUCACUCAGCAAAGCAAAUUCACAUAGAAUCACAGACUGGUUUGGGUUGGAAGGGACCUUAAAGAUCUAGUUCAACCCCUCUGCCAUGGGCAGGGACAGCUUCCAAUCGACUGGGUUGCUCAGAGUCCCUUCCAACCUGGCCUUGAAUCCAGGGAUGGGAAAUCCACAACUUCUCUGGGCAUUUGCCCAGUAGGUAUCCCUAUAAGUGCAAGGGGCUCAUCAAAGCCUUACUCACACCAGGCUCCCACCCUGCUGCCAGCUGCAGAAUUGCACUGUUGCUACAAGUUGCGAGGGUGAAAAAAAGACUCGUAGAAACAGCGCGAGAAGAGGACGUGUCAGAGAGCUGCAAAACUUCGUUGCCAGAGAACAUUCUCGUGUGUGUCCAGAGAUAGCCACGGCAGCCUGGGUGUUGUUGAAUCACACUGUGGUUGCUCUGGCCUUUCUGUGGUCACAGUGAUAAUCGUUGUGUGUGGUGUUGCGUUUUAUUAUUUGGGUUUUUUCUUAAAAGUAAAAUUAGCAGUCAAAUUGACGUUGGUAAGGCAGCAAGCCUGGUGAAGCUUUAUCUUCCCUGAACCUGGGGAUGAAGGAGGGAAGGAAAAUGGCUUGACCAGUUUGUCAGCUGUGCAUGUAACGGUCCCGGAGUUCGAAGCAAAGGGCACAACAGUCAGAUACCCAAACCCGUCUGGGCUCUGGCUGAUAAGUCACAUUUCAAAGUGAAAGGCAAUCCUAAAGGGGCUCUGCUGAGUGGCUGAAGCCUCCCAUGCUAAGUCUUCUUUAAAAGGGGAUUUCAUAAGGAGUAAUAUGAACAGAAAUGGCUCUUUUGUGGUUUUACACAUUCCAGGCAUGCCUGGACUGUUCCUGUCAAGGAUGGGCAGUCUCUGGGGUUUUGAGUUCUUUUUUUUUUUCCCAAAAUAUUUGCCACAAACUAGCAGCUGAAAUGGUGAAAAAUAAAUGAGAGUUGCAAAAUCAUUACAGUAGCAGUAAUGGAAACUGUGAGGCUUAUUCUUAAACUGGCUGUGGGGUUUCAGUCCAUAUUCUGUGCUGCUGCACUGUGAGGAUCACUACUUUUGCCACCUAUGACCGCUUCAGGAUGGAUGAUUUGAAAGCAGAGCUUUAACUGUUGGUUACCCAGAACCUCAAAAAACAGUGCUUUAGGCUUUUUUCAGAAGCAGUGCCUUUUCUGCUGAACAGUUAAGCGUGAAUUCCUUCAGAGUUAGUGCCGUUACGUGGCCAUACAGCAUCUUUACUUUAUGACAGCAUUGAUUUCUGCAGAUCUGUGGGUACAGAAACAGGUUAAAGCCAUUCCUGCUUCAGAUGAGCUUUCAUUUCACGCAGGUUGUGCCAGUUUGGAUUGUACCUGUACACUACAACACAGGAUUUUAAUUGAUGUGAGAGCUUCCACGCACAAGAUGGUGGUGCCUUAAACCUUAAAGAAGAGCACCUUAACUCUGCCUUGAAACAGUCUGAAAUUUCACAUACAAUAAAGCACUAGAUGGUGUGUGUAGACCUGGCCUGUUAGAAGAGUGCCUAGUUCGUAAGCCUACAUGUCCUGUUCUUCUCCCCAUGGGUGCUGCUCCUGUUGCCAUAGUCCUAUGUCCUGUGUAGGCAUCAGGAGCUCAUGGAUGGCUGGGAAAGCCAUGGCCAGAGGUGUUACUGCUAUCACCUCACUAGACUGGGUGCCACAAAGAGUAUGGCUGUUAACAGUGUGUAAUUAAAUGUGGGCCUCAGGCCCCUGAGACACCUUACACAAACACUCGGUGCAUUUAUCAUCAGCAUAUGCUGACCACAGCCAGCUCAGCACCUCCACAAGCUGGAGCUGCACCUUUACCUUCUCUGCAGGUGAGACUAAUCCCUCCAGGGGAGAGCAGAAAAUGGAGCCAGACUCAUCCCAGCAGAGUCUGAACCAUGGAACUGUAGAUAGACAUUCUGAGAAUUUGCUUUCCAGCCUGAGUUUGGCCAUAGCACAAAUGCAGGCAGAAAGUAAGAAAGCAUCUGUUUAAAAGUGGCAAUAAAAGAGACACUGUUGGAAUGAACCUUCUGUUCUGAUUUUAUUAAGGGUGAGUAUGGUUACUUAGUGAUGAACAGGAAUAGGAGUGGCUUUAGGACAUGGUGCCUGAAGCCCCCUCCCAUCCUCCAACACAGGCUGAUGUCUCAAGAAGGCUGAGAGGUCUCAAGAAGGCUGAGAGGUCUCAAGGUUGUCACCUGGGCUGUUACAGCUCUAUGGGUGGAGGAACUGUAAUCAUCAGGGUUGUCGUCAAAUGCGCUUACCAAGAUACAAGGAAGAAGAGCUUGUAUUAAGUCAGUGCUCAAUGUAAAUAUUUGUCAUCUUAGAGGAGUGUGGUCCCGUAGCCUUCUGGACUUCUUCCAUUUUGGGUUUGUUUCCUUAAAAAAGGAAAGAAAAAAAAAGUUUUCUUUACCCCAUCAGUGCUACCAACCACAGAAAUUUGGAAACAAAACGUCAGAGUGGGUAUUCAGCAGUGAGCUGUCUUUUCAGUGGGCCGAUCUCUCAAGGAUUGGUUUUGAAGUUGAUUUUGUUCUGUCCGCUCAAGGUCUCUGCUGUGGGAAUAUUUAUUGCUGUGAAACUGUAGCAGGCUUUGUAAAUGGCAGUUACUUUUGUAACCAAACAUACGUGCUUUGCUUACGAGUCCUGCAGAUAAGUGUGCAUUUGGAAUUUUUUUGUUUGUUUUGAACCAAAAUAACUUUUCCACUGUGUCAUCUGGAGUGGGAAAAUGGGUGGACCUUGAGUUGCAUUUUAAUGUAGAUUUCAUCCAUUUAAUCACAGUAGAAGGCUACAUAGAGAUGCUCUGUUAUCCUUCUCUUUCCAUGUACUUUGUUGAUGUUUUGUGCCUCAGAACCUCUGUUUUCUCUCUUUUUGAAGGUUUGAGAGUUUUGAUAGAACAAAAAUGCUUAAAAAUUGUAAUGGCCUUAGGAAGGCUACAGCAAGUUAUGUGGUGGUGAAGAGAUGCAGGCAACCUGUAGAAGAGCCAAUUUUUGACAGCAUGGGAAGUGGUUAGCGCCUCACUGGACAUGCUCACAUCAAAGCUGGACAGUGGGCUGGUUGAGAUACUCUGCUUGAACCACAAAUGACUGAGAUUCAGGCAGAAAUCACUGCAUGAAAUUCUGUGGUCUUUAUUAGUCAGGAGGUCAGACAAAAUAAUUUUGCUGGUUUCUCUUGGCUUUUAGAAUUUAUGAAUCACAUAGUCACGGUGUUUUGGUUUUUAGUUUUGGUUUGUUUUUUUUAUUUUUAUUUUCCAUGAGAAGUUUGCCUUGGUAGCAUGCAGACAACAGAACCCAUCUGUUCUCUCGUCCUUUCAUCAUGCGGUGUUGCUUCCGAAUUGUUCCAGAAGGAGGAUGAAAUUGGGCUUGUUAUUUAAAUUUCAGUAUGGGUGGCCAAAGCAACUCUACCUUGAUUAUUAUGGGCCUUCCAUGACCACAGGAAUGAAUGACACCUAAUGCCAGCCCUGAUUUAACAAACAUCUGAGGACAGGCUCAUCACUGCAGCAUAACCCAGUGGGAAUUGUGCCCCAUGGGAUCCUGCAGCAGGGCAAAGACAGAGAAAAGCUCAGUUUGGGAAAUCACAGAGAAAUGCAAUAACUGGAGGAAAGAAGAUGAAAGUCAUGUGACAGAAACAUAAGGAAAAUAAAAAUAAUGUGAAAUAAUGUCACUUUCUUGCCCAGUAUGCAGAAUUAAAAUGCAGGCACAAGCAGAGCACUGAAACAGGGUAGGUUUAAAUUAGAAACUAGGUACUAGGAAGAAAUUCUUUGCUGUGAAGGUGGUGAGGUUGCCCAGAGAGGUUGUGGAUACCCCAUCCCUGGAAGUGUUCAAAGCCAGGUUCGAUGGGGCCCUGAGCAGCUUGGUCUAGUGAAAGGUGUCCCUGCCCAUGGCAUGGGAUUUAGAACCAGAUGAUCUUUAAGGUCCCUUCCAACCCAAACCAUUUUAUAAUUCUAUGGCUUACUACCUGCAGCCCUUUCCUCCCUGCCAGAUGGGGCUAGUGACUUGGUCCCACCUGGCACUGGGAGGUUUUAGCAGUUCAGUGACAUCCCAAGCUUGACUUAUCUUUGCAGCAGCUUGGACCCACUUUCCAUUGUAAGAAAGAAACUCUUCCUGUCCUAUAGCAAGACUUCUAUCCAGAACUCAGCAGGACUUCAGUCAGAUUUUCAGGGUUUCAAACUGGUCUAGAUCAAUAGGCCAAUGUCCCAUUUGUAGCAGAGCCCUGGUAUGUGUGACAAGACCGUUUGAUGCACUCAAGGCUUGCUGGCACUUUGCCAGGCUUCAUGGGACAAACCUGUAUCUGUAGGGCGUAAACUCUCCUGAUUUCUAUGUUGGGGGACUGCAACAAGCUGGUUAUUGGGAAUGGUCCAUGUUGUCCUUCAUUCAGCAAUGUGCUGGAUACAUGAGCCAAGAAGGUGAGAAGUGUAACAUCUGAGAUGAUUUGAAUCCCCAUGUUUUGGAAUAUCCCCACACACUCUUUAGUAGUAAGGAUGUAAUCAGCCCUUGUAGGCUGGUAUAUGAUUAAAUAGCACCAGCGCAAAAAAACCCCCUACCUUACACUUAUUUAUGGCAGUUGAAUGUGUGUAGUUGGGAACAAAGAAUUCAGGUUUUGUCUAAAGUCUUUGUGAUCCCAUCUGGAAAGCACAGUGUAGGGAGGGAGUUCAUGGGAACCUCGUGUAUAAUCAUGUGAAAGCGACCUCUCAAUGGAGCUGUGGGACAAAAUGGACUUCUGCAAGUCUGGAGAGCAAGUAGAAGCAGGGAGGUGACUUCUUCCCUUUUAAAGGGAGACACAUUGCCUGGUGUCUGCACUUGAUGAAGGAAGGGGAAGUGCCAGGAAUAAUUUAAAGGAAAGCCACAGAUGACUUGGGAUUGCCAAACCAGAACUCCAGGCUUGAGGAGCACAGUGUAUUUGGUUAAUUGGGAUGAAGGUAGGCAAAGGGGUGACUUGAUUGCCAUGUCUAGUGGAGAAGUUUUGUUCAGUAGGUUUGGGGUAAGGAGCAACGCUUAGAAGUUUUAUGUCCUUUUCCAGAUUUUAGAGGAAAUAACGUCAGUCUAGGGUUGUAGGUUUAGUCUAUAAUAUUGGGUUUAUUAUGUAGAGGUCUUGGGUGAAAGGGACUGAUCUGCAGUGUACUAAAGGUGUGGUGGAUCAUUUGGGUCUUUCUGCCUUUAUGCUCAGAGCUCUGGUACUCCCCAACACCUUCCUCCCUUGAUCCCUGGGCUAGGUCAGAUCUGCUGCAACACUGGGCAUAGUGUAAACUAUCAGGUCAAAAUGCUUUGGAGCAGUCUUAUCUUAAGGCAGGCAUCUAACAUAUUGUUUUCCCUCUGGUGAUGACUGUUGUCCUCCAGCAACUGGAGGAAAGCUGGCUAAGAUGUGGACUCCUGCACUUUGGAUGUCUGAAGCUGCAUGGGGUGAACUCCCCUCUCACUGCCUGCGUGAGUGAGCAGGAGUUACUGGAACAAAGCACCUAAUUCAGAACUGUCUAACACCAUCCUAGAUGAAAAUAAUAUGGAAACUUUAAUCGGCUCUCUGCAGCUGAGCAGUCCCUGGAGGUCCUGUACCAAGCCUGACCCACUUGCUGAACCCCAACAGUGCAGCACUGGGCACUGCACCUGCCUUCAGAAGAAUGAAAGGACAGCAAUCUGAAAAGAGACAAGCACAGGGGACGGCAAUCUGUGGAAGACAUUGCUGAGAAGAAGAUUCCCGUGUGCUCUUCAGAAGGGCUGCUGAGCUGCCAAAGAAGCACCAAGCUUUCUCCUUCCUGUGUGUACCCAUCGUGCUGGCUGCAGCUGGGGUGCCACGAACCCUUGGUGGACCCCGAGAGGAUGCAAGGCUCUGUCUCUCCCUGGCAUGCUGAGGCCUGGCCAGACUCCCCAGGCAGAGCGAUGCUCCAGGGCCUCUGGACAACCUCCUUCCUGGGCAUAACACACCUUGAUUUUCUGGUGUUUUUUCUUAUUUUUUAAUUUUGGCUGAUUGAAUAACUGAAGUACAAACCUCCUUCACCUCUUUGACAUUAAUUCACUGAUGGAUGGCAGAAUGUUUCAUGUUUAGUUUUUAACCCAUGGGGUAGUGAUGUGAUUAUAAGCCUCACAUCCAUGGUGUAUCUUUGAGCCACCUGAAAAGUGUGAGUUUUUACAGAAAACAUGAGAAUGGUGGGGGAGCGUGGGAUAAAUUUCUUUAAUCCCUGAAUUUCAUUCUAAGUUUUGAACAAAUCCGAUGUAUUUCAUGGGACCAAAAAAGCUGUGAUUUUCCCCCUUUCUUCAGUGUUGUUUUUUUGUUUUGUUUAGCUUUUUUUUGGAAUUAAAAUGUUUACUCACAUAUAAAGGUUUCAGUAAGUUAAUUGCAUUCUGAUAAACAAGCUGAUGUCGAAAGAAAAAUGAGGAUGAGGAGAGGCCAAGCAUUGGGUUUUGGUUAUCUCCAAUUUUUUCCUUUUUAUUUAAGCUUCAGCAAAAUGGCAAGUGUUUCAUUUUGACCCACUUUCAAAUCCCAUUAGUGAAUAAGUACAGAAUGGGAAGGGUAAUCACGGAAAAUUCAAAAUGCAGCAGGUCAGGACAGGAGAGACUAGCAGCAAUCCUGCUCUGAUGGUGUGCCCAGACUUGGGUGUUUUAGUGUAUCUUACCAUAUUUUUUGUGUGACCAGUAAUGAAUUUUCAGUCACUGAAAGGGGAUGAGGAAAAAAAGGAGCCCCCAGUGCUUCUCUCCCCAUUUUCCUUGGCUCCCUUUGAUAUGACAGCAGCAUGUGCUUCUCACAGUCACAACUGCAUCAAGCACUUAGUUCUUGUGUAGAGCCCAUCAGUGCAGAUAAAUGCAGACAGACAGACAGACAGCUGCUUGCUCUGGUCCCUGAGCUCUGGAGCUUGCCAUUAAUGCCAAGGCUGAGCUCAAAAAGCCUUGCUCAAAGGAAGGGUAUAUCACCUUCAGUUAGCUGCAUGGGAGCUCAGCUGCAAUGCCAGGGCCCAGCGAGCUCACCCACAUCUCUUCUGACCUGAAGGAAGACGGACCUUUGGCUAUGAUUCAUCCAAGAUUUUGCUAAGCUGCUCUUCUCCACAGCAGCUCUGCCUUUCUGCUUGCAGGGAAGGCAUGCCAGCAGCUUCAUCUGGGUUUGGAAAAAUCAUCUCCACAGUUGCUGUCUUCCUGAAGAAGCAGCAGGAGAACCAUGUUUGAUUUACCUAAGGAAAUCUGUUGACCUUGAUGGAUUUUGUUUGAUUUGUACUAGCUGAGAAACUGACCCUUGCUUUUGUCAGAAAGGCUGUUCAGCACACACAGGCUGCAUGGUUUGUGAUUGGUUCAGGAGUUUAAUGGCAUUUCUUCAUCACUAUCAAAACAGUUCACUUUCUCAUGAUUUUGACAUUCCCAGUUUUGGCCUUACAGCAGAAGCAGAAGCACUUUUUCUUCCAUGAGUCCCUAAUUUAUUUUUUUUUUUGCAUUUGUCAGGUAAAGGGAAGGGUGAUCUUAGUGUUACAGCUCUUGAGACCUUCCUCAGUGUCAUCCUCAGCCAGUGCCUAGGAAAGGUGCAACACAAGCUGGUUAUGUACAGAAAAAGAGGGAUUUUUGAAUGGUUGAUAUGAGGGAAUAUUUCAGUCUCUGCCUGUCUCUGCUUUUUACACUGUGAGAUUGAGACACUGCCUCUGUCUUCUGUCCUUAUUCCCAUUUUGGUGAUAGGAAAAGGCCAGCUGAGCAGCUACAGAAAUGGUAGCAAACCCAAGAAGGCAUGUGGGAUGCUGAUACAGCUCCCCAGUGUUUGAAGUGAUGCUCCUGGGAGUGCCCAGCCUGGGGCUAGCAUGGCAAUGACACCAUUGGAGUGGCUCUCUGCUACCUGCUCUGGUCCUUGUAGCCCUAGGGUAUGGAAAUACUACCAAAACUUAAUACUGUCUCAGCCAGGUCAGCAAGGAAACAGCACUCUCUGCACAUAAUGUGAGGGAGAUAUGGCUCUGCUUGCCUUUUGAGAGCUGCCUAGAGUUUGUGCACAACUCCAUAUCCGAAGCCUCCCUUUUCCUAGUGCCUGACCACCAGGUGAAAAGCAGAGCUACAAAAUCCCUGUCCCCGGCCAUCUGCAGAGAGAGAAAAGUUACCCAGGGACCAGCUCUGGCAUUGCUCCCUAAAGCUUGUGAAAGUAUUACUGCUCUCAGCUGUCCUGUCUGUCCUGUGCUUGUCCAGUCGUGUUUAUGAGCCUCUGCAGCAGAUUGGGACUGGGAAUCAAAGGGAUAAAACACAGUUUGGGGUCUGUGAACCCUCCCCUGGGGCAGGGAGAUGGGAGCAAGAGACUGAUAAUGUGCUAAGCCACUGCAGGUGCUGCACCAACAGAGAGUGAAUCGGCCCCUUGCUGCCCUCCCCACCAACAGGCUCCCUCAGAGACAUGUGAUUGAAAUGGCAGAGACCUGGGGGAGAUUUGUUCCUGUCGUUUUGCAUCUCCUCUUACCCUGGUUGGCAGCCAUUGUUGGAUGCGUUGCCUUGUGCCAAACUUAUUCAUAGAUGCCUAAUCCUCUGCAGCCAACGAGCUCGGUGUCAUGGACUUCCUUCCAGGAGCCAGAUAUGUCAGUACCAUUAUACAUCUGGCUUUUGAGUGACUUGUGCAAGGCCAGGCAGCAAGCUUGUGGCUGAGCAGGUGUUGAAAACUAGCUCUCCCAAGCUUCAGGUUGGCAGCCUUUCCACCAGGAAAUCCUUCGUUUAACUUUCCAUCGCAGCAGAUGGAGUUGAAUUGAUGUAGGAGGGAAGUCUAUGUGCUUGUGCGUCUCUUCCAGCCUUUCUUCACCUCCCCACACUUCUCCAUGAAGGCACCUACUCUCAAGGUAAGAAAUAUUACUUUGUGUCCAGGAGAGAGCAGAAAGGGAGCUGGAUUGCCUCUGGCACCAAGCACUGAAGAAAAGAAUGGGAUAGUUUUGGGCAGAGUUCAAGGCAGGUUGUGCAAGUCUGCAAACUGCUCCUGUAGGGCUCCAUCACCGGCUCUUACCCAUGAGAGUCUGUCAGGUGUAGCAGCAGGUUCCUGUGCCACCCCUCACAUCUCUCUCCUUCAAAGCGGGAACAAGCUGCCCUGGAACAGGCUGACCUUUGGCAUAAUUAUUUCUGUGUUUUUUUCCCCAAGUCGGGGGCACCCAAGUGCAAAACUGAGGAAAGUUAAAGCAACCUCAGCUUUUUGUGAGCUUUCCUUGCAACAGUGACAGGGCUGUUGUUCUGCUCUUGGCAUUAAGUAAGAAAUCAGUGUUACCAUGGGAGCAAACUCCCAAACAGGUGGCAAUCACACACAUAUUAACCUGAACCAGUGCAGGAGGCACCAUAUCCCCCUGCGGACCCACCAAGGGGAGAGAUCUCAUCACCCUUUGUUUGUGCUCAGAGUGUGACUGUCCAGAGGAUGGUGCCCAAAUAGAUAAGGGCUUUGGGCACAGAUGUCUGGUUUGAUUAUUCUUUUCCUUUUGCAACAAACCAUAUGGUAGUACAUGGGCUGCACAGAUAUCUGGCAAUCAGAAUUCCUGGGCUCCCUCCCUAACUUUGCCAUUCACUCGUCUAAUUUUCAAAGCUAUUUUCAAUGAAUCAGCAAAACUUGCUGCCUUGAACCUCCUCACUCCCUUAAAGCAAGAGCUCCCCCGCAUUACUGGAGGUGCUUUUGAAUGUAGUCACCACAUCUUGCUUCACUAUCGCAAAAUUAGGUGCACUUAAUGCUUGUAAACUACUUUGGCACCAGCAGAUAAAAGGUGCUACAGACAGGUUGCUAAUCAGUUUGAUUAAGUAAAGCACCUAAAGUUUGCCACUGCUGCUGGAGGAUUGCAGGCUGAUCCAUCUAUAACCCGCAGGAGUAAGAUGAAUUAGCUCCGAUAAGGAUUGUUUGGUUUCUAGUCCGUCAGCCAGUGAAUGAAAUGACUUGGUGUUUAUAUGCCAGGUCACAGAGAAAAGUUUCUUGCGAUUGGAAAUGAUUAGGCACACUGAUUAAUGCUUCCAGUGCUCUUUGAUCCAGAGCUGCCAGUUGGAAUGAGUCUUCCUGCACGGAGACAUCUCAACUGCCUGGUAGCGAAAGUGCAGGGGGUAGAAAAUUGACUGAAAAAAUGUGGGUGUGGAUGGGAAGGCUCUGCUGUAAGAUAUGCUCUUUUUCCAUCAGGGGCUCCAGGCUUGCAUUCUUUGAACCAUCCUCUUAUUCCUGGAAGUCAAGGCAGUUUGUGACUCUCGUUGUGCUUGUCAGGUUUAUUCAUUUUAAAGAAAAUGUUCAGGAAGAUUGCCAAGUUGUCUAAACUUCCAGCACUGAUAAGGACCUCAGGGUCUGCUAAGUUAAGAAGAAAACAUCCCAGGUUCAAGAAAAGCUUUAAAAUGUAGCACUUUCUGAGUAGGUUCAACUGUUGUGAAACUGUUGUUUUUUCUCUCACCAUGGAGGUGCCAUCUCCUUGUGAUGGACGUUCCUUCUUUCAGACAUAGGAUUUCCCAUUUUUAACACUCAAUUAGGAUAUCCCCCUUUUAUAACAUGUUUGUGAAGUUGUGCUUCGUGCCUGUUUUCAAGCCUGCAUUAUCUUGCUGUGCAUGGUCUGAACCAGUUAAUAUCUAAUUGCAGAUCAUUUUUACAAAAAUAGGUGCCUACUCUGCCUAUUUUAUAAUUUUGAGGUGGCUCCAUGGUGGCUGCUUGGCUGCUGCCUGCCCUGCUACUUUUCUCCCCAGCUUGUGUGGCUGCCCUGGCGUGUUGCUGGCACAGGGGGCAGUAACACAGGGUCUCCUGGAAACCUGUGGAUGGGGCCAAGUAAAACACAUCUGGGCAUCACCCCAAGUACCUCAAAGACUGCUGCACCAAGGGGGUUCCCAUUGUCUCAGACAUCUCACUGUACUUAAUAGUGAUAGAGUUGUCUGUACCACCCUUGCUUACAGCAAGCUAGUGGUUGGGGCCAGGAAAAGGAGGAGUUUGGUGCUGGAUACUUCUCCAGCUCCUCAGGGUAAGAAUCACUGCUUAUCAGAAGCAAUUUUGCAGAGGUAUUUCUAUCUAAAGCAAUUUUGGAGAAGUAUUUCAGGUGUAGCUUCCGCGUUGGAGACAGUUUCACACGGGUGGAAGCCAUCCCAAAGAUGUGCCAUGGCACUUGUGGCCCCAGUGGUUCCCCAGCCACACGCCACUGGCACUGCUCCAGCUUGUUGCCGUCCUGCUUGCUGCCUCACUUGCCCGCUGCCUCCCACUGAAACUGGCUCUCCUUUCCUCCUGCCCCUACGUGCAGGACAUGAGGUGAGGACAUGAGUGAUAAACCCACCCUCCUUAUCGUGUCCAUCUUAGUAUGGAUCCUAGCAGGGAGACAGUGGGAUGGUGAGUUUGAAGGUGCCCAGCCAAAAAUUGCACAGCUCCAUCAUUUGCCUUGUUAUUGCUACCACAGUUAACCCAUUGGUUGUUGGCCCUGGAGUAGGGUAUCUGUGAGGCUCAGUUCAUCUCUUGGGCUCAUAGUUCAAACCAAGACAGGAGGUUCUGGUAGGCCGAGGCUUUUGUCCACAGCCAGUUUUGCCUUUCCUGGUAGCAGUCACCUUUUCCUCUUUGCUUUCAUGGGAGGUUGCGGCUCCCACUCGGAGGCUGGGCCUUGCAUGCCUGACCAUGCCCAUGAGGUGAAGGGCAGGGCUUGUGCUUCAGGCUGGCACGUGAUGUGGAGCAUGAAACAAGACUGUAGUCACGGAGGCAUGGCCAGCAAGAAGCAUGAGACUCACAGCCCCUCUGGGCAGGGUUAGACUGGGCAGAAACCUGGCAGAGAGAGUGUCUGCCAGGUGUCCAGGUUACGGUGCAACCCGGGGCAUUAAAAGUCUGGCUAUGUGGGAGCUGGACCUGCUGUCUGAGGUAGUGAGAGAUUUUUAACUCUUUGUAUCUUAGACAUUCACAGCAAACAAAUGCUGUUGGAUCCUUGCUGAUUUCUCCUCCAAAUUGAAAAGUUCAGAACAAUUUUCCCCCUGACAAUUACAUAGCAAAGUAUCUAUUAAGAAAGUAUGGAAAAGAAUCACAGAAACAGAGACGAGGUUAGAAGGGACCUCCUGAGACCAUCUGAUCCAACUUUCUGUUGAAAACAGGGCCUUAGAUUAGGUUAUUCAAGGCCCAGCCAAGCCAAGUCUUCAGUGUUUCUAAUGAGGAAGAUUUCACUCUCUUCAGGCAACUAAUCCUACUCUUUAGUUGCUUUCACAGCAAAGAAUUUUUUUAAUAUUCAGGUGGAACUUCUCUUGAAGCUACUUGUGCCCUUUGUGUCUUCUCCUGUCAUAAUGCGUCCUUGUGAAGAGAUGUGUCUUCUCCACAGCUACCUUUUAGGCAUUGGAAGGCAGAGAUUUUGUUUCCCCACUCUAAGCCUUCCCUGCUCAAGUCUGAGUAAGCACAGUUCAUCCAGUGGAAAGUUCUCCAGCCCCCUAAUCUUCCUCGUCUUCUUUGGACCAUCUCCAGGCUUUCAGUGUUUCUUGAACUGGGAAGAGAGAAACUGGACAGGUUGUUCCAGGUGUGGCCUAACAGGUGCCGAGCAGAGUAGGAAAAUCACAUCCCUUUAUCUACCAGCAAUAGUCUCACUAAUUCAGCCCAGGAUGCUGUUGGCCUUUGUAGCUGCCAGGAUACAUGGCUGGCUCAAGUUCUGUUUUCUGUCUGCCAAGACACCCUGUGCCAUUUCAGCAGAGCACCUGUCCAGCUGGUCAGUGCCCAGCUGGUGCUCCUGCUUGGAAUUAUUCCAUCCCAGGUUCAGAACUUGACAUUUAUCUCUACAGAACCUCAUGUUAAACCUCAUGCUUUCUGUCCAAAUCUCAACAGCCUGUUGAGAUGUCUAUAUGGUGACUUUUUCUUUCAGCACCUCUACCUCCUUACCCAGCUUAGGCUCGUCUUGAAUUUGGUGACAGUGCUUUCAAUCCUACCUUCCAGAUCUCUUAAAAAGCUGAAUUGCAUUGACUCCAGAAGAUAUUCAUUUGUGCCCAGCUGCCAACAUGACUCUGAGCUUUUAACUAUUGAGCCUCUGAGCUCAAGUUUAGUCAGUUUGUCAUCCGUUUUGUGUUUCAUCUGCCCGGUAAAUAUCUUAAUGGCUUGUCAAAAAGGAUUUUCAGGGAGGCUGUGUCAAACACCUUGCUAAAUAUCAAGGUAGAUGAUAUCCGCAACUCUUCUUUCAUCCACUGAACAAGUUGUUUGGUCAAGCAGGAUUGACCCUUCAUUCUGUCUGUGUUGGUUUUUCACAGUCAGCUUCUUGACAUUUGUUUGCAUGGAAGUAGCUUUUGUAAGGAUCUGUUCCGUAGUUUUCUCAGGUACUGAAAUGAGGCUGACUGGUCUGUAGUUUUCUGGAUCUUCCUUUUUGCCCUUUUUGUAGGUAGACAUAGCAUUGUUCUUCACUAGUCUUCAGAUGCCAGAAGGCAUCUCUCCACAUAAAGCUGUUUACUAAUUGUUUUUCACUUCCUCUGGGGAAAUAAUGUGAUUGACACCAGACAAAUGACUUAAAGCACUAUGGAUGUCAACAUGCAAAGAACAGAAGAUCCUUAUGUCCAUUGAUAGUAGGGCAAAAUUGUUAAACAGAACAAAUUCUGGGCUGGAAAUGACAAUGAUUCAUGGUGACAUCUAGUCAUCACCUAAAUUCUAAAGAUGCUCUUGUUGAUGGUGAAAUAAUCCUAUCUGCAGAUUUAGGUGAAGUAAAGUGCAGUUCUGUGUAUCAUUAAUAUUACUGUUGCAGGUUCAAUUUAGCAGACACCAGUCUUUGGUCUUGCAUGCAUUUAGCAGUCAAGAUUUUAGCCUCUCUGCCAGUACCUUGGAGCCAGGUCUCUCCAAGAAGGAGUGAGCUUGGUUUCAAGGGACUGUUGUGAUAUUACAUGUGGCUGGCUGGUGCCAUGAUGGGGGUCAUUAGAUGGAGUUGUCACCUCCUGAGAGGUAGCUAGAGUUCUUUUAGCUGAAAGGUCUGUGUGAGGUUUGCACAGACCAGUGUAAUAAGUGGCCUAGCUUUGGACUUCUGUUGAUAUCAAUAAUUACAUAUACUCAGUGUUUAAUCAGUGCAGUUAGUUGGCAUGAUUAGUCUGGCUGUACAGCAACAUAUGCUCUCAGACCUGAACGCUUCUUUCAUGUUUCAAAACAAGCUACACAUCUUUAGCUCAGACUUUCCAACUUUGAAAUAUCAGGAGUUAUCCAAUGAUACCACAGAAGUGGCACUGGAACCUGUUAUUGUUACACUUUAAUAACCAGCACAUUGACUAAGACUAGGAAAUAAGUUCUCUCCACUGCCAAAGGAUGGGUUUUUUCUGCUCCAGCUCAACGAGUGACUAAGUUCUUCAUAUAUCAGUUGUUGGUGGCUCACAGUCUGGCUUCUCAGAAGAGUAAGAGGAAAAUAGCAAGGGCUGAAUGUGAAAUUGUGGAGAAACCAGGGAGGUUUAUACAAGGCCUCUGAAUGGUACUAUCCUCCUAGGCAGUGAUUUGUUAAUGCACAGCUGCACAUGGGUGUCCUUCCACACCUAUGGAUUCAAAUUUUAAGGUGCAAUUGUAAUUACAAUUGUAAGGCAAUUGGCAUGACAUUGCUUAACACUGUUAUUAGUAUUCACAGAGCAGGUGAAUGUGCUGUGUUAGGCAUCUUGUAUCUUUACUAAUAAAGCAUAUCUUCAAGUCUUCCCUCUAGGAAAGUGGAAACCUGGCAUCCACGCGGGCUCUGUUAAUACUAACCCCAAGUUAUUUCAAGAUGCUAAUAUGGAAAGUGUACUUUUUAUUAUUCAUUUUUCUGGUCUGUAGUUUAUUGGUUGUUUUAUUGGCGUUUUUUUUGGGAGGGGGUGGGUGUUUUUUUUUCUUCUCCCCCCCCCCCCUUGCCUAUUUCUUGUCUGUCUGGAAAGGGUUAAUAGAAAACAAGAUUCCACUGAAGCAUGUCAUUGCUGCACCCAUGGUCAGUAUUAUGUGUGUAUACUUUAGUAGUCCACUGAGUUUAAAUAAACAUGCAGAAUGCCUGGUUUUGGCCAAGCAAAAAGUGACAGCUAUUUGCACUGGUGUUUCCCUCGUGCUGUGGGCUACCUGCUGGCUUUGCAGAGGUGGAACAGUUUGGGGUGUCAUUUGCUUGAAGCACUUUAUCACGGCUCCCCACAAGCCCUCCCUCCCUCUGUCUGGCUGCUUACAGGUUUUGAAUGAAAGGUCCUGUUCACACAUGCAGCAACUCGAAUUAUCUCUAAAUAAACUAGUGUAUGUGGAGAGUAAUUCAUGAGCAUUUCCAGCACGAUGAUAAAUGGUAGUCAGGACCAGCACAUACAAGGUGGCCCCUCAGGCAUGUGCCUCAAUAAAGUUGUGCAAAGAUACUGUAGAAGGGUGUGGAGACAUGACCUUAAAAUAAGAGCUGUGUCUUUUGGAGCUCUAGAGACCAGGCUGUAAGUGACAGACAUGCAGUAUUUGAUCAUCUCUUGUCUAAUAUUGUGCUUCCAGAACUUGAGAGAUACUUCAGGUUUUAGCCUCUACUCCUCCCCAUGUGUCUACCAGUCUGCUUCCUGAAAAAGCAACAAUCUUCUUACUCCUUAAAAGACACCUUAAACAGUCAGGUCUGAUAAAAAAUAGCAAUAAACUCUAAGAGUUCAUGUACUGACCUGCUGCUUUCCAGCCCUUGCUGACAAGAUUCUUGAAGUAUAAUUGACCUUUGCCUUAGCAGAGACCAUUCUUCUGUGAUGAUGAAGAGAGAGAGAGGAAAAGCCCACAAAUGCGAGAGCUGUAGGAGGUUGUGGCCAGGUUUAUCCCAGCAGGUCAAACAAGGACAAGGCAUAGCCCUGAGCACUGGUGUAUACCUGUCCAUACUGUAAGCUGUUAGCACAGUUCCAGCCCAUACUGGCCAGCGCUCCUCCAGACAACUCCUGGGCACUGUCUGGGGACGCGCACUGGCCAGUGGCUGUCGCCAGCAGUAAUUUGGCUGCAGGCACCUUGUUCUGGGAAGGUGAAAGGGCUUAGCUGUCUGGAUACAAGAUGCUGGGCAGUUGGUUCCAGUGCCAAGGGACAGUCCUUGGCUUGUCUUAUUUACAAGUACGGACAAGAUGAAGGUUUUGGGAUACAGGAACCCCAGUGGUGAGGUAGAGCAGAUGUGAGUUUUGCAAUUUCUGUUGAACUUUCAAGUGCUGCUUUCAGAUACUGUCUCUCUUGAAAACUCUGCACUUGAUGAGUUUCUAUUAUUGAUCUCAUAUGGCAAAUAAGGGAAGAAACCCUUGGACUUCAGAUAGUACACAUAAAUAAUGUGAAAGAAAUGUGAAAUGACUGGGGAGGAGUUUUGAUCUGGUCUACAGAGAAACUAUAGGAGAUUCAUAGAUUGCUGAUGAUACAAUUAAAAAGCAUGCUGUAUUUUCCUGUUUGUGAGAAGAGGGAGAAGACACAGAAGGAAAAACAGCUCAAAAAUAUGAAAAUACUAAACACAAAUGGUAGGCAACCUGAUGGUCAGAGUCUUACUUGUCACAUAAUAAUGUCUAGGCUUUGUCUGUACACAUCUGUAACAGUGUCUAUUUUUUUAUUAGGGAUAAUAAAAGGCAUCCACUGUAGUCAAACUGGUCAUGCUUGUUGUUGAAAAAAAUUUUUCUGUCCUUAAAAUCCCAGCUGAAAUUGAUACAAAUAAAUAAGUAGUCUUGUCUCUAAGGAAUUAUGUUCCUGGGGGAAAAUGUGUGUUGUGAUCUGAAUCCUUGUUGCAAAGCUCAUCCUGCAUAAACCAGUAGUCCUGGAAUCCAACACACCUGAAUUAUAGAUGAAAAGUAUUUUGGUCCAUUACGUCAAUGCAUUGCCUGUACUGGGGAACCCAAAACUGAACACAACGCUCCAGAUACAAUCUCAUGAGUGUCAGAUAAGUGGGAAGUAUUGCUUUUUUUGACUUACACAGUUGUCUCACCAUAGAAAGUUGCCUGGCUAGUCUGCGAAGAGAUCAACAGCACUGUGCUUGUCUACACCGACCCAUAGUAGGUUACCUCCAGAGGAGUCAGCAUGUCUUUGGCUAAGGCACUAAGGUUAGAAAUGUGUCUGACUUGAAAAGUAGCAGGUGGGCCUGGGUCCUGCCUGUUUGUACCACGUUGGUGUAUCUUCAUGACCUGUUAAAAUGGAGUCCCAUGGGCGUAAGGUGCAUGGUCUAGAGAAAGCAGAAGGCAAUAGAGAUUAUUUUGGUAUCUCAGAGGGCUUAGUGUAUAGGAUGGUCCUUUUUCAGUUCUGAAUGUUCUUUGUACCUAUUUCUGUAUCCAUCCAGCCUUUUGUAUCUUGUUGCUUUUUAACAAAACUAGCCCUGAAGAAAGGGACAUGAAACCUGACUCAGGCAGUGCUAGAGCUGAACUGCUCUAGCUAAUGCAUAAGUGUUUGCAACAUGUUUACAGCAAGCUAAAGUGAACAACCAUGUGAAUAAAUGAGUAGCUUUAAAGUGCUGAAAACCAACACUUUGUGAUGGAUUGAGGGGAUGAGGGGAAAACACCCCCUCUUCUUGCUCCGCAUCCGCUCACACCCCAUCCUUUGACUAUGCUCACCAAGGCGGGAGAAGGGGAUCCACAGAUGGAGGGAUUAUAAAGCUCUUGUCAUGUUCCCAAGGUAUGAAAUCAGUUGAGAAAACGUGCACAGAGCAACUCGAGAGUGUCUCUUCUCAGGCUGGGAGGUCUGAGCACUGCCAAAACCUUCUGGCCCCCUCUCCCAGCCUGAUGCUUUGAAAGAAUAUCGUUGGCUCCAUGACACUGUGGGUCUGUUGACUUGUGUUUGUAUGUUUGUGCUUGGAUGUGUGCACAACUCAAAAGCAGGUCUGAGGUUAAGUAAAGCCUCUUGCUUGGUGGGGAACCUUGAUCAACAUGUCACAGAACAUGACAAUUUCCAUAAUGGUUUUAAAAAAAGCGCAUACAGGAUUAGCUGCCAACUUCCAGGGAUGAAUAUGCAUAACCACUUGAAAUAUCCAACUUCUGGGCUCUGCCAUCUUCUCCACAGCAGUUUUGAAGAAAUUGUUUGAUUUCCCUAUGCCAGCCAGUUGAUCUGAAAUAGUGUACUAUUUAUCUGACAUCUUUGAAUGUUGUGUGGCUUAUUGAAGGGGUUUUCAUGUCAGAGACUUAAUGUAGGCUUUAGUUCGUUUUUUUUCCCCUAGUGUUCAAACUGAAAAAGAGUCUUUUUUUUUUUUCUUCUUUCUCUCUUUAUGUCUCUCUUUAUGGACAAAUAUUUAAUACUUCUGAAAAUUUACUCCCUUUAUCGUGUCUUAAUUCAGGCAUCUAAAACCAUGGCCCAUUUUGAAUUUAGGCCAAACAUGCCUGCCAUGGCAUGACAGUUUUCUCUUGGUUGGGCACACAACCUAACUCAGCACAGAUGGGUAUGGAGGUGAAGGUGAUAAAAAGAUACCUUGGCUGCAAGGAUAUAGCAAAGUUUUGUCCUGUGUUGUAGCAUACUUUUGUGUCCCUCCAAGACAGUAGGUUUUGCUUUUAAGAAAGGCCUGUAUAAGCAUGAAAAUGAUGGAAACAAAAAGACAAUUGAGUGAUUUUGCAGUCAUUAUGGAUUUUUAUUUCAAGAGCUGGGGUCAGUAAUAAUACUCAGUGGGCCUACUUUUCACAUAUGCUAAUAAGCAAGUGUUGGGGUAUUUACAUGAAAAGAGGAAUACUUAUAAUGCACAAAAAAAGAUUUUAUUACAUAGGCAGAAACCCAGAAUGAUGGCGUGACCUGCCUACCACCUUCUAAGGUCACAGUCACCUCUUCUGCCAAUAUUGUAAUAAUUUGCCAACAAUCUCAUUUGCUACAUCCUUUUCAGUAAUACACUUCUGCUACGCAUCUUGAAAGAGUUUAGAGUUGAAGUAAAACUGGUUCUCCCAUCCCCACUGGACUUCAGUGCAAAUGAGAAUGACAAUCAGGUAAAAGGCUUAUGAAAACAACUAUUUUUGGCUCAGCCCUGAUAGGACAACAAUUCCAUUGUUCUGCUCUGAUAUUCAGUCAGUGUGACUCAUCUGUAGAGGACUUUCUGGCCCAUUUUCUUUAAAAAUGUGUUCUAUCCAGAGAACUGAUUGAGACUUUCUAAAACUGGGAAUGCUGAAAAAGAACAGCCUGCCUGUUUGUUGGGUGUUGGUUAACCUUUUCUACACCACCUCAUCUCAAAAGGCAGCACAUGUGCUGUCUUAUGCAGGAAGGUGUUUUCAACCAAAAAAGUGGUUCUUGUGGACUUUUUUUUUCCUUCUGGAAGAUGGGAAUUAUGGAGAGGACAAGUUUCAGGGCCUUCAUGGAGAGUGAGUUCAGGCAUCCUCAGAGACUGAGAAGGUAAUGGCUGCUUCAGGGUGGGAAGAAUAGGCAAGACUGGAAGAUGCCACUCUGAACCUCACCCUGGCCUCUGCUCAUACCUAGCUAACCUAGGGGUUCACAGGAUCUUCCUGGUCUUUGGGACUCCCAAAGCAUAAGGACUGCCACCAAGCUUUGAGGGUGCCACAAGUGGUAGAAAUCUGAUGCUCUGAGAGCAGAAAGCCUGGAGAUGUUUCCUGCUGUAGUCCACCGUCAUCUAGGAUCCGGAAAAGCCACUUUUCCCUAAGUGAGGGAAAAAUGUAAAAUGUUUUCUUCAGUCACUCAAAUAGCAGAAAGAAACAUACAUUUGAGAGCAAGGGUUAGAGAAAAUUCAGUCUUGUUAUCCUCCUAGUGAGGACAUGUCCCUUCCUUUUCACUUUUGUGUUUUCCCUGAAGAUACAAACUUAGGCUGCAGUUGGAUAAAUGCUUACUUAGUGUAAUGCUGUAAUAAUCUCUAUCUCAAGGGCUUUUAGUAUUUGGUUGAAUUAGGACUUCAGAAAGGUAGGUGAAAGCUCCCUUUGCCAAGAGGAACUUCCAUGCAUGGAGUCUGGAAGUGGUCUGAUGUGGACAUCGAUGACCUGCCUUGCUAGCUGUUUGUGAAAAUUAGGUCUGCUGAAAUCAGUGGCAAAACUGCUGUUGAUUUUAAGAGAGCUGAAUUUCAUUCUGAGGAUGUUUAUUUGAAUUACUUUUUUCCGUGGCUUUUGAUAUGUAGGCAUAGAGGACUUGGGGAAAAUAUUGAUGUGAUUGAGACACCCUUUCCAUUAUGGCAAAGGGUGGGCAGGUGGCACUGUGGGAAGAAACAUUUAGAAUUUGACUGGCACUUUGAAAUGCUUUUCAUUUUUUCCUACCUGCUUUGCUUCAGUCUUCCAAGUUAAACUUGUGCAUGAAUGACAGGUUUUAUUAUUUUGAGUGCUCUAUGUUUUUCUUCAUUAUUUAGAUACUGAACUUGCAAAACAUUCUCUUAGCAGGGCAGUUCAUUUUCAACUGGAUCUUAAUGAGACCAGUCCUUCCUUUCCUGGGAAAGUAUGUGCCUCUGGUGAGAGCUGCCCACCUUUCACAAACCACAGCUAAAACUUGUUUUUUCAGUGAAGCACAAAGCACACAGCCGCUUACAAAUCUCAGUUUUUCUUAGCAUGAGGCAAAUAUGCAUUUUGUAAAUGUGGGACAGACAUGUUUUGAUGUGGGUCUUGAACAGGGCUUCAGUAUAGGGAUAGCUCAUCUUUAAUUUAUAGUUACAUGCAAUCAAGCCAUUCCAGGAAAAGGCAUUUUGUGGUUCUUGGGCCAGGGAAGAAGAAGAAGGAUAAAAACCUUCUUCCCUAAACAGAAACAGAUACAGCAGGCAGUACAGACCUAUGUUCCCUAAAAUGAAAACUUAGUAUAGAGCUCUUGAAAUGUUUUUAAUUAUUAAAAUCACUGAGAGAUUCGUGCUAAAAUUCUGUCAGGUAUCGCCUCUUCUCUCUCUGGGAAAAACAGAGAGUUUACUACCUCUGUUGCCACAAGCAAAUUUAGUUAAAUCCAGCUGGCAGCUGGUGGUGUUCCCAAGGGCUCAGUACUUGGACAAAUUCCAUUCAAUAUCUUUAUCAAUGACCUGGAUGAGGGGAUCGAAGGCACCCUCAUGAAGUUUGCAGACAACAUUAAGUUUGGUGGGAGUGCUGUUCUAACAGAGGGUAGGAAGGUUCUACAGGGGGACCUGGACAGGCUGGAUCGACGGGCUGAGGCCAGUGGUAUGAGUUUCAACAAGGUGAAGUUCCAGGUCUUGUACUUCAGUCAUAACCCCUGCAGUGCUACAGGCUGGUGGCAGAGUGGCUGGAAAGCUGCUCAGCAGAAAAGGACUUGGGCGUGCUGGUUGACAGCAGCUGAACAUGAGCCAGUGUGUGCCCAGGUGGCCAAGAAGGCCAAUGGCAUCCUGACUUGUAUCAGAAACAGUGUGACCAGCAGGACCAGGGCAGAUUGUUCCUCUGUAUUUGGCACUGAUGAGGCCACACCUCAAGUUCUGUGUCCAGUUUUGGGCCUCUCAUGACAAGAAAGACACUGAGGUGCUGGAGUGUGUCCAGAGAAGAACAGUGGAGGUGGUGAACAGUCUGGAGCACAAGUCUUAUGAGGAGUGACUGACGGUGCUGGGGGUGUUUAGUCUGGAGAAAAGGAGGCUCAGGAGAGACCUUAUUGUUCUCUAUAACUACCGGAAAGGAAGUUGUAGCCAGGUGGGGAUUUGGGGGAUUGGUCUAUUCUCCCACAUAGCAAGUGACAGGACAAGAGGAAAUGGCCUCACAUUGUGCCAGGGGAGGUUUAGAUUGGAUAUUAGGAAAAAUUUAUUCACUGAAAGGGUGGUCAAGCACUAGAAUAGGCUGCUGUUUAGUGGUGACUUGACAGUGCUGAGUUAACAGUUGGACUGGAUGGUCUUAAAGGCCUUUUCCACCCUGAACAGUUCUAUGAUUCUAAGUUAUAACCAUGGGUUUUAAUCUGAUUAUGAGAUCUGCUGCAGGAAAUUCUCUGGCCUCUUUUGUACCCAUGUUUGACUUAGUUGAUCAAAAUGGCAUUUCUGACCUGGAAGUUCAUCAAUCACUGGAGUCCAACAGAAAACUUAUGGUCGUGUGGUAUGUUUAAAGGGGGACUUACAGUCUUUUAGAAAUCAAAAGCAUUUUAUAAACAAUAAUUGGUUCAUGCUUUCCUUCCACUCAAAUGCAACCACCACCAACUAUGAGGAGUGUCUGGUUUUUUUGUAGGGGAUAUCGAUGGGGAAGAUCUAAGUAGGCAGCACAAAAUUAUAAAAAAAUGGAAUUUUAUCAGAACUUCAUGUUCACUCUUUUUAAAGAGCUGUGGGAUUUUUUAGGGGUCUCUGCCUAUUGGGCUGUAGAGCACCAGCAGUAAUCAUAAAAUCAUAGCAUUAUUAAGGUUAGAAAAAACCUCCAAGAUGAUCAAGUCCAAACCAUGACCAUGCCCAGUAAACCAUAUUAUGAUGUUCCAUGGGUAUCAUUUUUUGAACACUUCCAGGUAUGGUGACUCCACCACUUCCCUGGGGAGCCUGUUCCAAUGCUUAAUUACUCUUUAAGUGAAGAAAUUUUUCCUAAUAUCCAACCUGAACCUCCCUUAGCCCGACUUGAGGCUGUUUCCCCUUGUCCUAUCGGUAGUUGUCACCUUUGGAUUGUUUUAGGGUUAUUGCUUCUGUACCAACAGUGAUAACAUGUUGCUGGAUUUUCAUUACCUUGGCCUGGAAUAUCUCAGUGCUCUUUGAUCAACAUUUCGUGAGAGAAAUUUCAUUGUAUCUCUUGUCUGGUGUUGCAGGUAACUGUGUACUGCAAAUACAGCUGCAUGUCUGGCAGCGCUGCCCCUGUCGCUGCCUCUCAUUCAGACCAGCUGGCUCUGGGCUCCUUGCUGAGGGCUGUUACCUCAAACAGCAGAGUUGUUCUGCAGUGUGGCAUAUUCAGCCUUUACUGAUGCUCACCACAGCUUCUCCUGGAAGCAAAACAGGUACUUGACAAAUCUGUCAGAAACUGGCUUGUCCUAAAUCGUAGGAACAAGGAAAAGCUUGUAAGGAAACCGCUGCCCUAUCUUUAUCAGUCAGCCCUUCCUUAUUUCCAUUACAUGCAGCCUUGCUUAUGUCUCUGACACUUGGGGAAUACUCAAAUUAUGCUCUUCUUUUCUUUUUUUUUCAGACCAACUGUCUUUGGGUCUGAUCCAAACCUCAGUCAGUUUGAGGGAAGUCUUUCUAAUGCUGUUGGCUGGCUUUGGAUCGUCUCCCUCACUUGCACCCCUUCAGUAAUUCAGAGGCACACGUUUGACUUUUUUUAGAAAGCUGAUCUCAUGAAGGUGGAAAUCAAAUAGUUUCAGUCUAGCACCUCAGUGUUCUGCUUGAAACAGAUCUGUCAGAGGGUUGCUCAUCUCAAAGAAAGAGAUGACAAAGGAAGGAUUUUCUCCCAAAUAUAGUAUGGUUUCUAAUAUUUUCUAUUAAAUACAAUUCAAUAGCAAAAUAUGAAAGAGAAAGCAGUCUUUUUUAUGCAGUUUGCUUCUUCUGCCCCACAGACAAAUUCCACUGAACCAACUUCUCACACCCCUACUUUAACCAUCCUUGCUAUAAUACAAGACAUAAAAACCUAAUCACAUCUCACCAUUUAAUAUAUGGCAACAUGAUGAAAUGGACCAAGAGUCUACUUGAAGGUAUCUAUAGGAACUAAGGAAACAGGCUACACAUCUUACUGAGAACCAUCAAUGAAUGUGAUUUUUUGGUUUGUUUUUGGGUUUUUUGUUUGUUUCUUUGUUUUGUUUUUUUGUUUGGUUUGGUUUGUUUGUGUUUAAUUUUUGUUGGUUUUUUUUUAUUUUAUUUUUGUGGGAUUUUUGUUUGGUUGGUUUGGGUUUUGUUUGUUUUGGUUGGUGGGGAUGUUGUUGUUGUUGAUGUCUUCUUAUUAUUAUUAUUACUUCUAUUAAUACCCUUAUCCCUGAGAUGGCUUUUUUGUAUGGAAAUAGAAGUUUUCCUUAUUUCUGUCUUACUGAGUCUAAAUUAAAAGAGUAGCUGAUCUUCAGAAGUCCCAAAGGGAUGGAAGAAAACAAGGUCCUUGAUGGCUUCAUGGAGGAAGAGUAAAAGCAUAGAGGGAACCUGGAGGCACCGAGGAACAAGCUCCAUGGUGCCUCCUCUGUGUUAGAAUUUGUGCGUGGAUCAGAUCUGCCACCUUGGAGUAAAGCAUCACUGGGGCAAACACCGAAGAGGUCAGAUCAUGAGACAUCCUGGCCAAGGGUAUCUGGCAAAAGUGACAGCUACCACCAGUCACUUGAGGUGGAUGGGUUGAGCUGAUGAGGGAACACCUGAGCUAAAACUUCGGAUGUUCUCCACUGGAACUGCACUUCUACCCUGCGGGUAGGGUGCUUCGGAUCCUAGGAUCAGAUGGGGCUUUUUCAGAGCACUCAGUAGCAUCCACUGGAAGAGAGAAGGUAGAGGAAGCUGCAAAAUCAGCUUCUGCUUAGGCUGAAUAAAAUGAAAAUUUCAAUAUGGGCAACUGAAUGGGGAGGGGGUGUGUGUCGCAGGUUUGAGGGGUAGCAGCUAUUUUGAUAGGGAGUGUGGCUUGGUGUUGUUCCCCUUCUUUCCCUAAGGAAAGGGUUUCAUGUCUUUAUUUUGGUACUUUCUAGGAUGAAUAUUGCUUGUGCCAGAGGCAAUCUCAGCUGUCCUUCUAGGCAUCUGGGCUGGGACUGGUGUUGAUUUUACUGCUGCUCUUCAGCAGAGACCUUUGGAGGCCAAACCUGACCCUUCAAAGCUUGGCAGAGAUGCUACAGCAGUGACUGGACCAUGGGUUUCAGUUUGGGGUGUCAUGUUAUGGAAUUGGAUAAGUGACAGUCUGGAGUUGAGACCACAGCAGUAAUGGAAAAUCAGAAUCAGUAUUUUUGCAGAGGAGGGGUGCUGCCCCAACAAGAAGAGAAGUGAACAAGGAUAGCUCAUGACAGUUACACACAGAAACACUCAGACUCUGCAGCAAGACACCUGAUCAUCAGAGAUACUCUGUCUCCAGGACCCUGCUCUGUAUGGGAUUAGAACUGCAAACAGACAUCAAAUACAUGAGACCAUGUAAAUCAGAAAAGGGAGACCCAGCUGCUUGGUUGUGUUUGUUAUUUUGCUUUUGCCUCUGUUCUAAAUUGCAAGAAGACUGAUACCAAUUCCUAUAUAGCCCAAUACAGUCAGCAAAGCAGCUUCUGUGGUUUAAAACUCUUGGGGAAGAGUUAAUCUGGAGGGUGCAUUUUUAUUGUCUUGACUGGUAAACAGCUGAUCUGACCAGAAGCCUGUGGUAGUGCUGAAAGCUCACAGAAGUAUUUCAGAAGCAUCUUAAUUUAUGGCUCAUAUCUCAGUUUGUGCCUCCGCAGAACUGGUUGCUCUAUAGUAAAUCUUUCAGCAUUUGAUCCCAGCUGCCUCUGCCCUUUCUAACAAUAAAGAUGAGGGUCAGUUCUUCUCAUUAGUCAGUAAGAGCUGAAUUUAAAAAUAACAUGCUGAUGUUACUGUGCAGAAGUUUAGUUUUUAAUUUGGACUGAAUAUGGGGGAAAAAUAAAUCGGGGAAGAGCAAGCUACAAAGGGAAUUGCAGAUUCACUUUCCAGUCUGAAAGAUUUUUAGGGCAGGGACUGUCAAUUAUUUUGUUUGUACAACAAUCUCAACAUAAAUGGGGCCUCUAGCUGCUUCCACAACGUAAAUUAUUGAUGCUGCUAGGAUCCACAAAAGACAUGUGCCUGGCUUUAAGUACAGGGGUAAUAAAACUGACAUCUAGAGGAAUCCUUUAGCUCAAAGUUAAAUAUGUGCUUAUGUUCUUUGGGCUUCUGGUGGCUGUUUUAGAGCUUAUGUACCUGAUGGGAUCUUGAAGUAACAAAGCUGGCCGUACUAUGAUAGAGGAUGCAGAUCUGAAUAGACACACUUGGAAGUUCCAGAUAAUUCUCAUGACCUCUCAGAGAAACUCAGCCCUGUUGACUUUGCAGGAAGCCACUUGAAAUAGAUAGUCCUUAUCCAAAGUGACAGCAGGUACACGAUCCUAAUAAAAGAAACAUGGACCCGUUGCACAUCAUGCUGUCAUUGCGUUACCUUGCCUGACAAAGGAAGGCGGCACACCGUGAUCUGAAAGAGAUCCGAGGUGACAUGGCACCCGACAAGGCAUCCUGGUUGACGGAAAUGGAGUCAGGAGGUGGAGAGGGUGGG